rnacentral:rRNA from 1 species
CUGGCGGCGUGCUUAACACAUGCAAGUCGAACGAAGCAUCCCUCCCGAACGAAGCGGAAGUGCUUGCACAGAAGUGGAUUCAUUGGGAUGACUUAGUGGCGGACGGGUGAGUAACGCGUGGGCAACCUGCCCUGUAGAGGGGGACGAACAGUUAGAAAUGACUGCUAAUACCGCAUAGUAAUGCAGAUCCGCAUGCUUCUGCAUUGAAAGCUUUUGCGCUACAGGAUGGGCCCGCGUUUGAUUAGCUAGUUGGUGAGGUAACGGCCCACCAAGGCGACGAUCAAUAGCCGGCUUGAGAGAGUGAACGGCCACAUUGGGACUGAGACACGGCCCAAACUCCUACGGGAGGCAGCAGUGGGGAAUAUUGCACAAUGGGGGAAACCCGUGAUGCCAGCGACGCCGCGUGAGUGAAGAAGUAUUUCGGUAUGUAAAGCUCUAUCAGCAGGAAAGAUAAUGACGGUACCUGACUAAGAAGCCCCGGCUAACUACGUGCCAGCCGCCGC